rnacentral:rRNA from 1 species
GACGUAGGGCGCGAGCGUUGUCCGGAUUUAUUGGGCGUAAAGAGCUCGUAGGCGGCUUGUUGCGUCGACUGUGAAAACCCGCGGCUUAACUGCGGGCUUGCAGUUGAUACGGGCAGGCUAGAGUUCGGUAGGGGAGACUGGAAUUCCUGGUGUAGCGGUGAAAUGCGCAGAUAUCAGGAGGAACACCGGUGGCGAAGGCGGGUCUCUGGGCCGAUACUGACGCUGAGGUGCGAAAGCGUGGGGAGCAAACAGG